AAGUCAAUGGAAAAAACGAGCAUUAAACCAAGCACCCCAUGCUCUGAAGAGGGGAGGGUGCCAGGUCCCACUGAGGUCUAUGCAGAAGAUUGCUGUACAGUGGGGGAUUCCCCCAGUGUGAGUCCACACUUAGGAGUCCCUACUCUGACUCCAUAUAUAGCUAUGUCCUAUAUGGAAGCAGUGCUUGGGGACACC